AGAGAGAGUUAAGAGGACGUGAAACCGAUGAGGUGGAAACGGACAGAGCUGGCGUAUCUGGCUUGCAUUCAGCCGCUGCGCGUCGGGCCCCGGUUUGCCGCACUCCAGAUUGGGAAGGUGGCUGGGCCGCUGGCGUGUCAGUGGUGCAUUUGCAGGUGGAGUGCGCCGAGGCGCUCGGUUCAGCGGCAUGAGCUCAGCCUUGAGGCCAACCGUGCAAGCGGUCUGGUACCCGGGCUGGGGGAGUGUUGUUUGGGCUGGGUGUUCGCUUGGGCAAUGGUUUCGGGCCCGGGUGGGUGCCGAGCUGGCGGUCGGCGGCGGUCGCGUGCGACACGUGCCAGCAGUCAGUUCGGUCCUGCUCGAGCUCUCAUCUGUCCGGCCUCGGUGUAAAAGCCGGUCAUCUGUCCGACCCGUCUUGAAACACGGACCAAGGAGUUUAGCGUGUGCGCGAGUCAUUGGGCGUUGAAAACCCAAAGGCGCAAUGAAAGUGAAGGUCUGCCUUGUGCAGCUGAUGUGUGAUCCUGGGCGCUGCGGUGCCCGGGCGCAACAUAGUCCCGUCCCGACUGCUUGCAGUGGGGCGGGAGACAGAGCGUACGCGCUGAGACCCGAAAGAUGGUGAACUAUUCCUGAGCAGGAUGAAGCCAGAGGAAACUCUGGUGGAAGUCCGAAGCGAUUCUGACGUGCAAAUCGAUCGUCUGACUUGGGUAUAGGGGCGAAAGACUAAUCGA
rnacentral:rRNA from 1 species